UUUGAUUAUCAGUCUAUGACAAAAGUUCGCGGCAAGCUACUGAAGAAAUCAAUCGACCUGCCUCUGUUGGCUAGCUUUGGCUAGAUUGCAUGUGUUCUUGCUCAUGGAGAAAUUGAUCUAGGGCUAUAAAACAAACAUAUGUACUGUGGAAGUACACGAAGAAACACUUGCGAUUGGAACAAGGAAGGUGCUGGCCACAAGGUUGAUGAAUGAGAAUACAGAGAUUUCUUGACAGGUCGAAUUCAUCUUGAUUUCCUAAAGUGAACCAGAAUAGUGCAUCUUUUGGCAGUGCUUUAGAAUACUUAAACAGAGAUAGUUAUUACCUUCAAGAUGUACUUUUGACUUGUGGGAUUUGUAACCUGUUAAGUUCUACAGAUUUGACAUGCAAACUACUCAAAACUUGCUCAUAGCUCUGUAUUACAUGGAUCCUUAGCAACUAUAUGCGCUUUUUGUUCAUGUUGUGUUGAUUUAUACUAGGCAUUUUGUUCAGGCUGUAUUAUAUUGAUUGUAAGUCAGAAAUGUACUAAGUAGUUAUAUCGCAAUAAGCAUGGGCUUAUUGGUUUUCAUUCUACCUUCUCAAUUUUUGUUACUGUUAACAGUACCACCAUAAUCAGGCAUAUUCACCGGCGUGGCGUGCCGCUAUAUCUGACAGAAAGUGUGCUUUCUCAGCAUGAAGAUAAUAGAAUGGGAAGGUAUGAUCUUCAUGGGCCUUAGUGGUACUAUCAUAUUAUGAAAACUCCUGCAAAGUUCAUAUAAUGAUCCUUGUUUCAGACUCAGUUCAAAGGACCAAGCUGAUCAAUAGGUUUCAGCCAUGGCUAGCUAUCCUCUCUUGCAAUUUUGUGAUGUCAUGUUUUAGCCAUGGCAUAAAUCAUGUAGUUCAUUCCAUCUCCUUUUAUUACUCGUUGGCCGUUUGGCAGUACAUCACCUUCAUCUGCCAUCUUACCAUCCUGAAAAGUGUAGCACAAAUUAAGUUACUGUGUAUGCCAGAUCCAAAUUAGAUUAUGUCGAAGCUAUCUGGACUUGUUAUUUUUGGACUCUACUAUUAAAAUGAAUAGCAUGAGGAAUGAUUUGUACCACCGGAACACCAGGAUACAGCCGGAGAGUCUUGGUAAUCGCAGCAUGGAGGUAGUGCAUUUUGUCAAUAGCACCUUGUUUCAAUCUUGCGGUGAAUAUUUCCAUGCUGGUAUCUUCUUGAGUCCACUCGACAUAUUCUCUGAUUUCAAAGGCAACCUUAUCCUGCACUACUGGGUUCUUGCAGAGCAUGUAGAAGAACCAUGUAAGGGUAUUCCCUGUGGUGUCUUUACUAGCAAUCAGGAAGCUGAGGACUAUGUCACGAAGGUAACGAUCGUUCAUCGUCCCAGGAUCAUUCUCACUUUCCAGUAUGAAUCUUGAUAGUAUGUCAUCUCUGGCUUUCUGCAUUUAUCAUAAAAGAUAGAAUUGAACAUAUGUAAAAUUUUGAAAUAGUUGUAACAAACUAUCAUACAGGUUGACUUACAUGGCCACUUAUGUUCUUCAUGAUCUCUCUCUUUUGAUGGAUCAACUGUAUCACAAAGUCGUCGAUUAUCUUUAUGCUCCUCUUCAGUUUGGCUUCUGACCCGAUAUUAAGAUACCUUUUCAACUCCCAGAACAUAUCAACAUACCGAUGGUAAACAAGAUAAUUUGCCUCAUCGAAGGCCUUGCUGAAUUCAAUGCUGGAUUCAUCUGAUCCGGAUAGCGUGUUAAGGUCAAAACCGAAUCCCACUUUGUAAACCCGCAAUCAAUCAAUUAAUUCUUAUCUUUACUUUGCUCACUCAGAAAUCUUAGUAAUGCAUAGCCCAAUUCAGAAGUUUUGGAGAAACUAUGUUUACUCUAUUUGCCAAGAAUAGCUAACUGAAUUUUUAUUUGGCCAUUUAGGUCUAGGAUUUGAUUUGCUUCUCUCUUUUGUAGUUUAAAGUUCUAAAUUUGACAUGCAUAGAGUGAACUAUUAAAGCUAGAAUUAUGAUCUUAGCACUUACAGUACUAUACUGUUUAUAUUGAGGAAGUACCUGCAAGUUUAUGGUAAUUCUGUUAGCUGCUGCAGCUGAGGUCUUCUCUGCCAAUUUCAUAGCAUUCAUUCGGAAAACAUCACUGCUGUAGUCACGUAGCACUUUGGUUGAGAACUCAUGGCUUGCUAGCUUUCUCUGGUGUUGCCACUUCUCUCCAUCUGUAACGAAAAUCCCAUUUCCAAACAGAUCCUUCACGGUCUCCGUGUUGAAGGCCCCCUGUAAAAUAGGAUCCAUCAUUGCGAAAUUAUAGUCAGACAAAGUAUUUCCACAGGCACUCAGUUUACUCUCUAAAUAGAACUCCCUCCGUCCCAUAAUAUAAGAGCGUUUUUGACACUAGUGUACUGCAAACUAGUAUCAAAAACGCUCUUAUAUUGUGGGACGGAGGUAGUAGUAUAUUAUUAGUCUGACUAGCAUGAAUGAAAAUUCAUAGGUGGAUAGAACAUGGCAAUAUGUUCUACAGACUACUCAAGUUUUGACUUUUGGCCAUCCUCUUCAAAUUUUGAAGGAUCCUAUUUACCAUCUGACAUGCAUACUGAAUCAUCUACCACCAUCUUACUAGUUAGCAAGAAAAACAGGAGGAACAAAAAUGAUGAGCAAGGAAAACUACCCUGCUGUAUUUACUGAAGUUUGUCUUAAGGAUAUGCUCGAUGACGGCAGGGUCGGCGGUUAAAAUCUCACUGUGCCCAGGAUAGACAAGCCUAAUGGUGGGGUGCAGGAGUGCAUACUUCACAUGCUCAUCGAAGAUCUUGUCAAAGUUGUUGAGCUGCCGGAAGACGGUCCCGGUGAGCGGCGGCCGAUCAUGGGCUCUCUGGGUGAACUCUCUGAUGUAGAAGACGGCAAAGGAUACAACAACGCCAAUGAUGUAGAGGGUGAUCACCAUCAGGGCUAAGGCGAGAGCUGAGACUACACAUAUGCCCGCAGAUGCAGCAAGGGAGGAGAGCUGGGGUGCCAUGAUCAGCGCUAGCUGCUGCUUGCUGAGAGUAAGAUUACCAUGUUCAGCAUCUUAUAUAUGUGAUCCGCGGGUCCACUGUAUUUGUUUCGAUUUGGUCAGUGUCACUGUCUUCUAGGAGAGGACAAUGACAUGAAUGUUUCUAUAUUUUCAUGUUUUGGACAGUGUUGUAGAAAAUGGGUAACUUGUUUUCAGAAUAUGUUCAUGUCUUGGGAGAAAAUUCCUAUGCGCUGAUCAGUCACCGAAUAUGAAUUUGUGUCUGCAAAUAGAGUUUGGUAAGAGUUUGUGCAUAUCAUUUUGACAUGAAAGGCUUUCCUAGCAACAAAGAUCUCCAUAAGCACAUCUCUCGCUCUUACCAUGUCACUCUGCUGUUUCAGGAUAACCACAAUUCAACUUCUCAUUCAUCGAAAAAUUGGUACUGGUAAAUUGUCCGCCGACAUGUUGCGGCAGACUGCAGUGCUGGCAAGUACAGUGCCCAUAAUUCUCUAAAUCUCUAUAGAGCAUUGUUGUAUGUUAUGAAGUAAUUUGCAUUGUUGUACCAGCAAACAGAAGAAAGGACAUCCGGAGAGGUAGUGACAUAGCUGAAUCCGUGGGCAUGGCUUCAGCAAAACUGAAUAUUGCAACCUAAUUAACUGGAACGGCAACUUGACAGCAACACCUAUAUGACGUAGCUGCUGGAUUUAUCUGCUUGUAUACAUGUGCUAGGCCAACCUUUCUUAUGUGAGAGGGGGAAGAGUUCACCUCUUUGAAGGAUGAGAGUUUAGAGGCCGCAUAAGAAUAUUUUAAGGUACACGAGAUUUUGAAUCUAGAAGAUGCGAUGAGCCGGGUGACGAUACCGUUCUCUCCCCGCUUUCCUCCUUUUGAACCCUAAUUCAUUUCCCCGCCUCCACCUUUCAGUUUUAUGAGGCAACUGGUUUUGGUGCACUAGUGACUUAAUUCAGCCCGAGUUCCAUAUGGAGCUGAGCAGUCUAAGGCAUGAGCUUUGUGUCUGAGGUAUGAUCCACCCGACUUGUUGAUAGAAGCCUCGAAAAAGUGUUUGCUAAUGUUCUGGUGUCUCUGAUUCCUGCAUUGUGUCCAUACAUAUCUCUCCUGUCCUUUCAUUAUGGUAUACUCUCUGUUUUUCUGGUUGUCUCUAAAACGUCUUAUAUUUAUGUACAGAUGGAGUAUCUCUUAUGGGCUCACGUAUAUGCCCGAUAAGAGAAUCAUUAGUUAGAACUGGCAGAUAUUACCAUGAGUUCAUACGUGAGAGAAAAUUAUUGGUUACGUACAAGAACAAUGCAUGGAUUGGAUUUUUUUUUGCAAUUUGUCCCCUCCACCAAAGCGACCAACAAUUCAACAUCCAGCAAAACGGAGGCACACGCCAAAGUCUAGAAAUAAAAGCAUAUCAAUAAGGCAUUAAUCACAUAUGACUUGCAGUACAUCUAACAACAUAUAGGCAAAUGCCUUUUUUUUAUUAUAUAUGCACGAGAUCAAGCUAUUCUUAAUACUAAUUUCUUUGCAAAGAUACUUUCGAAAGUGUUAAAAAUAGCAAUAGCAAGAAAACGCAGCACAUAAAAGAUAAAAAAAACUUACUGACAAACACUUUUUCACACCAACACCCUUGCAAUCCGAGAAGAGAUCACCAGCUCCCUCUACUAGAUUAGACCGACCUGUAUCUUCCAGCGAAUAGGAAUGUAAUCAGCUCCUCUAAUUAUGAUUGUUUUUUCCAGCCCAAUGGAAGUUUAAUUAUGCUCGUUUUUAUAUCAUCCUAUAAUCCUUCAAUUAUGCACAUUUUUUUAUCCUUAUCUUCCAGCCCACAAUAUCAUGAGCUCCUCCUUUAAUUAUGCAUGUUUUUUCGGGCCACAGAAACUUUAAUUUACAUCAGCCCAUAAUCCUUCAAUUAUGCACGUUUUUCGAUCCUUAUCUUCCACCCCACAAUAUCAUCAGCUCCUCCUUUAAUUAUGCACGUUUUUGAGCCCAUAAGAGAUUUUCAGCCCAUGAUCCUACAAUUAUGCACUCAUUCAGCACACAAAUAUCCAUGUUUUAUGCCGCUGUCAUGUACCGUGAAAAGCCCCCCCCCCCUGCCCCGACCUUGCAUGUGAGAGAUCCUGUUUAAUUACCUCCCGAUAGACAAAGACGUUGAACAUAUAUAAAUUGGUAAGAGUUAGUUUUGUGUAGCGAGGUGGGCUCGCCAAGCCCAGUGUGAGGCCGCAUGCGUGCGUGCGGUGCAUGAAAAGCUAGCACGCAUGAAAACCAGCUUACGUGACAUCAAACGAAACCAAAUAGCUUACGUGACAUCGAACGAUACCAAAUAGCCUACAUGAAAUUAAUCAAAGCGGGACCAAACGAAGCAGCACGAAACGAAGAAACCACCUCCCUUUAAUAGUAGGUAUAGAACUUUGGAUGGAUGAACAAUAUAGUUUGGUAAGUAUGGGAGUUGUAUAUAUAUAAAGGGCGAGAUGUACGGAGAACAUCACUCACUCAAGUAUGAGAGUUUGGUGGGGUAUUCACUCCGACUCUACAAGAUGAAUGCUGGUGGCCUCCUCUAUCCUAUAGGAGUGGUUCUUUACAUGGUGGUAACUUUUUUCGAAGCUUUUACCUGGUGGUAAAUUGGUAAUCACUCAUACUUUGGGGGGCUGCUUCAAAACUAAUUAUCGAACUGUUGGGUUGACUCACUUGACCUGGUUGUGUACACUUGUAUUCCCCCUUGUACAACGCCUCCUCUAUUCUACGUACUUUCUUCCUCCGGUACAAUGCUGUUUUUCUAUUUUGGUUAAAAGAAAGGAGGAUGGGCUCUAGCAUUAGGACGUACGUUUAACUUGUUUGCCACACUGUAAUUUGUAGUUUGGGAUGAAAUUAUCCUAAAACCUGAUUUUUAUGCUACUUGUAUUACUUUGGAGAUCAUGGCGAGAGUAUGAUAUUGUUGUUUGAAGAGGUUGGUAAGAUGUUGACAUAUGUCGCAAAUCCACUAGGCAGCCUAAAUAUCCUAAAUUCUAUUUUAUUCCUGUCUGUGCCUAAGCAUUGUAAUAAUGCUGAGGUUACCUUUGUUCAAAUUGGUCACCAUAUUAGGAUCAAGCUCAGUUUUUCCAAUCCCUCGGCAUAUAAGAAAGUAAUUUGGGUGCAUCAUAGUUGAUAAUUACAUUAUUCGUUGGCGUUGGAAGUUGUUGUAGAGAUAUUUGAGACAUUAUAAAUAAGGCUUAUUGGUUGGUAGUCUCUUCCUUUGAUUAAAUUUUGUUUGUACUUCUUACUGAUUUGAAUAUUUUGUCGCCUGAUUUCUCAGUUAAGCCACCUUACCUUCUGGCUUUUCAAAAUUGAGGAGAAAAGCUCCCAAUUCCAUUUAGCAUAGAACUGAUAACACAUCCUAGGACCCAGCUCCCAAUACAGCCUGCAUGCCAUGACCUCAGCUAAGAACAAACCUUGUGGGCAACAGGCAGCGAGAAACAAACCCAAGCAACACAACACGGAAAAUUAAUACACAACACCUAACUCAGCAUUAUUGAACUCAUUCUAUGCCACGACCAUAAGAACUGAACCAAAGCAGCGGACGGAACUUCGUCUGUGGCUAAUCUAUCAGCACUAGGACAACCUGGCACAAAUCAUCGAACAUGCUGAGAACCUAACAAUAUGAUCCGCCAUAUGUCCAGUACGCACUAUUAUCUAAUGUACUGACGUCUCCUAAUCCAAUAUGCACAUACAAAUGCUCCUUUUUUUAUCACCAUCUCCUUUGUCUAUGUGGUUGCCCCCUAUCUUAUGUGCUAAUGUAUGUGCCAUUAGGAGAAUCACUAGUGGGAAUUAGGAAGUGAAGACGAAUGACUAAUAUAUGUAUAGUGUUCAGGAUGUAGUGGUAUAUAUAAAGGGAGAGAUGUACCUUGAACAGUACUCGAUGUGAAUGCCAAUGUCCAGCUACAUCCUAAGACAAUCUCUUACAUAAUGGUAACCAUUCAGUCUUUUUACGCGGCCCUGAUAAUUAUCUGGUCAUCCAGUAUAAUCUAUGCCUCAGCGAUAUAAAAAGCACAGGCUGGCAGGGAUACUGCCCCACAAUAAUUUAACUUGGUUUCAUAGUUAUUUCUCCAAUGGUUGUUUACAAAUGUCAUACCCCUCCCUUGAUACUUCUAAUCUCUUAAUUUUACUUUUCACUUCUAGUUAUUUUUAUUUUCAUUCUGUGUAUACGAUAGUUUCUACUUACAUAAUAUUUUCCUUUGUUAUGUUUUGUUAAUAAAAAUAAUGAUGCCUUGUGCACUCAAGAUGUGCACUUCAGAGGGUGGGAAUACCCCAUGACACUAGGGAUAAUAUCUAAUAAUUGACUCCAUGUUUGUCAUUAUAAAGAGGAUUCUUAUUUCAUUAGGAUGUGAUACUCCCAUCCAUAGUGAGAUGCAUGUGGUGAAACUUUGUCAAUCUUUAUGUUACAUUGCUCUAGUUAGUACUCCUACCGUUCACAAAUAUAAGAUGUUUCACUUUUUGUGUGUCACUUUUCGUGAAUCGGAUGUACACAAACACAUUUUGAUGUGUUUCUUCACUCAUUUCAGUCCGUAUAUAGUUCAUAUUAAAAUAUCUAGAACAUCUUAUAUUUGUGAAUUAAUGGAGAUAGUAGGUUUUAGGCGUUGCGAGUGUGUGUACAGUGGUGUGUAUGCGUGUGUGCCCGUCUACAUUGUACAAGUUGUUUUAAAAAUGUCAUUACUCUAACUUAUUUUCUCUGAUUUUCCUUGAAAUUUGCGAGGGAAUCCAUUGGAAAACAUUUACCGUACACAAAGACUGUGCUAGUUCUGGCCAACAACACCUGCCAUCAUAAACACUAGGUUUGUGUGCUCAGCCUCUUCCCAGGCGCACCCGACAAAGAAACACGGUGGGAGCACACGUGUGUACAUAGACUGGUGUGCCAUGUUGGUGGCCUCAAGCCUGCAUCAUGAGCCAUCAGAGGCCAAGCUCUUGCGACCACCAUCUACCGUAAGUCAGCACGCUGCGCGGACUCCUCAAACAUAGGUAUGCAUGCCUGCCCUAACUCUAAAAUUGCUUAUAUCUUGUAGCUAUUGUCGUUUGAAGAUGUUGGCCAGCCGUUGAUGGGUCUCAAAUACACUAGGUAGCCCAAUGUUGUUUUCGGGACCUUGUAGUUUCAACUUUUAUAGCCAUCUGUUGUAGCUUUAUCGUUCGAAUUGGCCACCAUUAUUACAAUCACGUGUUUCGGUAAUCAACAUCUAAUAAAAUAAGAGCAGCGUUUUGGCCCCCAGGCUCUGAUGAGCCCAGGAGUAACCAAAACAAUAGUUAUAAAUAUUAAAUAAAUCAAAAAAUUCCAAUUUUUUAUGGAGAAAGAUGACUGAGUGUGAUGGCUGUCCCAAAUUUCAGAGCAUUUAGAUGUCUGAGUAACUCUCAGCAAAAAAGACCAAUUUGAGGUCUGUGAUUUUUCUUACUAUUUGUGCAUUGUUCAGACCUGAUAUUUUUUUGCUGAGAGCUAAUGAGAUGUCUAAAUCAUUUGAACUUUUGCACGCAUCUCACACACUCAAUCAUCUUACAGGCAAAAAAUGUUUUUUCUUAAUUUUCUAGUUUAUGUUUUUUAAUUUACUGUUCACCUGGUGCAGAUGAGCUGGGGCUCAGAAUUGGAUAUUCGGUUGUGUGCAUCAUACUCAUAUUUUGAUGAAUCUAUGAAGGGAGAAGUUUUGUUGGAGAUCAUAAGGAGAGCACAAAUUAGGCUUAUUUGUCAAUAAUCCUUAGCUAAUCUUUGUCUUCUAUUUGCAUAAAGUUGUUUAAUGAAUGCCUUCAUUAUGCUAUAGUAAUUCAGGUACAUCAAAUAUGUGAAUCAUAGAAAAAGAUUACGCGACUUCGCAUCUAGGGAUGAUGGGAAUUGAGCACCGCACGAUAUUGCGGAGAACCUAGACUGCUUGUUGUUUGGUGAAAAAAAGUUGUAUUGAAGAGGCUAAAGUUCCAGAAGACCCACAAAUGACGACAACAUUUUUGGACCCCUUCCUCCCCACACGACACAAGCCAUCACAAUCCUCAAUUUUGCUUCUAUCAACUAAUACCGGCAUUAGCGAUCUUUUUAUCGCAAACGAGACCAAAGUAACCGCUAUAUCGUGGAGGGUCUGGUUGAGGUAUCUUUGUUUGUAGCCUGUCCAAUGGUACUAGGGCUCUGUGGCGCAUAUAAUAGAACAUACCGAGUAUGGCUUGCUAAUGUCCAGAUGUCUCAUAUUCCUACAUAUCCAACCAUGCAUCUCUCUCUGGUUCUCUUCGCAUGGUCUCCUAUUUAUUUAGUUUCCACAAAUCUAAUGUCCAAAUAUAUUUGUUUUAUAAGAGAAUCAUGGAAUAGAGGUGCCAAUGGAUGAAUUAUAUGGUUUGGUGAGAUGGGUGAUAUAUAAGAAGGAAGAGACAGACCGAAAAAUUAUUCUUGCAAGUCUCGAAUUGGCGGAGAAUUCAUUUCCUCUCCAUAAGGUGAAUACCAUCGAUGACCUAUUGUAGCCUAGAAGUGUGGUCCUUUACUUGUUGGCAAACUUUUAUUUUAUGCAAGAACAUUUUGAAUAUUAAUAUUACCAGUGAGAAAAUAUCAUCACUCACGAGGAUGUGGCUAUUCUGCACGGGUGUAGAUGAGCCUGGGCACCGAAUUGAAAUUUUAACUUAUGACCGCUAUUAUUGAUAUUCUGGAUGACGAAGAAGUUCCCUGUUAACUAAGAUAGGUGGAUCUAUCUCUGGUUUUCAUCAACUCAAAACAUAUGCUUAAUUAAUAGGCGUGGACGCAUGCCUAUGUUGGCACAUGUGUACCAUUUUUUUGAAUGGUCAUUUAUAAUAAUUAAAUUAAAAUGAUUGUUCCUUUACGAAGAUCGAAAGGAAAAUAUCACGGUGGUCAUCAGGGCAGACUUGCUCUGAUCAUUGCACACUCAUGAUCUAGGAAUGGCAUAUAUAAAAAAGAAAAGGAAAAAAACCACAAGACUAUGCUUUUUGAGAGAAUUCUACAUGAAAUUUGCACGAAUCCUCCAAAGAGAAGCAAUCGGUGAAGGAAACAAUGCCCAACCCCUCCGUAGCCCAUGCGAGUGACUGAGGGAACCUAGCGCGCCACCAGCCAGGACUCCCGAUCUAUGAAUAGGCUCCUGGAGGCAUGUAUCAAUAUCAUCGAACCUGUCGACAACUAAACAAUUUGAACAGCCUGAUAUGAAACACAGACGAUUUGCUAAUAUCAUGAUGUCUCAAAUUCCUGCAUGUCCAUUCAUCUCGCUGGUUCCUUUAGUUUGGUCGCCUCUAUCUAUGUGUUUCCCACCUAUCGUAUAUCCUACUUUAUAUGCCCAACAAUAAGAAAGUCACUGGUUAUAAGUGUGGAUGGAUGAAUAAUAGGUCAAGAUGGAGUGGUGUAUUUAAAGGGAGAGAGAGACAUAGAACAAUACUCACAUAAGUGUGAGAUUUGGUGGAGUAUUCAUUUCUCUCCACGAGCUGAAAUGCUGAAUGCACAUGGCUUGAUUUAAAGUGGAAAGAUAUAAAUAAGAAGAAUUUCCCGGAAAUGUGUAUUCAGAUCACGUCACUUAUUCUGGGACGGAAGGAGUAUGAUUAGUUUGACUACUUUGAGUGUAAAUUCAAAGGUUGAUAGCACAUGGAAGUAUCUUCUACAGACUACUUAAGUACUUACUUUUCACAAUCCUCUGUUUAAAUUUUGCAGAAUCCUAUUUAACAGCUGACAUGCAGAUAGAACCAUAUACCACCUUUUUAUUUGUUAGCAAUAAAGAGAGAAAGAACAAAAAUGAUGGGCAAGAAAAACCCUGUUGUAUUUACUGAAUUUUGUCUUGAGGAGAUGGUCGAUGAUGGCAGGGUCGGCGGUUAAGAUCUCUUAGUGUGCCCAGGAUAGUCUAGCUUGAAGAUGGGGUGGGGGUGCCGGUGAGGUGGGGUGAGAGUGGGGGCCCAGGAAGAGAGAGAAGUGAGAAAAAGACACCGUGGGAAGAGUUUAAGUGUCUCACGGACCUUUACCGAGCGUCUUUCGAUGCGGCUCUCGGUAAAGGUCCUAGAUCUAGGGUUUAUACCUUUUAUGAGAGUCUCACUCGGUAAAGGAUAAUACCUUAGAUCUAGGUUACCCUUUUACCAAGAGCAGCCUCAAAACAUUCACCAAUACCGAGAGCAACUCUCGAAAAUGACAACCCCCCUCCACAAAUGGCCUACGCAUGUUGCAAAGGCAUCACGUAGGAUUUUCCAUGCCGCUUCUGGGCAUGAUUUCAUGUGCCACCUUGCAAAUCUACAACUUCCGAUGGUGAACCCUAGCGGUGCAAUAAAUGUCUCGAAUAUUGCACGUGGGUUCGAAAAAUGCGGGGGCUUGGCAUGUGUCAUGUGAUGGCCUCCUUUAAGAGCACGAGAAGUUUCGAGGCCAAUGGAACAACAGGAACAACACUUCCUUCACAAAAUGGACAUGUUCCUUUCGGUGCCCAUAGACUAACUCGGAGAUGGUGUGGUUUACAAGCAUCCUGACUUGAGGCUUAUUCGAAGCGUGCACAAACUUUUACCACACCCUGCAUGGGCAUGUCAUGACACCGUGCCAAAUCCUGAGCAAUUCCACCAUCAUACAAUUUCCCGAGGAUUUUAACGGUUGCAUCAGUCAUGCCACAGAGGUAAUUUCGCACCCCGGUUGUAGGGCCUGCCCCUACAUCAUCAGCACGUGGCUUACGCAUGUUGCAAAGACAUCACAUAGGAUUUUUCAUGCCGCUUCGAGGCAAGAUUUCAUGUCCCGCCUUCCAGAUCUACAAUUUCAUGUGGUGAAACCCUAGCGGUGCAAUAAAUGACUCGAAUAUUGCACGUGAGUCUGGAAAAUGUGGGGGCUUGGCAUGUGUCAUGGGAUUGCGUCCUAUGAGAGCACAAGAUGUUUCGAGGCCAACGAAGCAAUAGGACCAACACUUCACAAACCGGACACGUUCCCUCUUGGUGCCCACAGACUAGCUCGUAGAUGGUGUGGUUUACAAGCGGCAUGACUGGAGGCUUAUUCGAAAUGCACCCAAACUUUCACCACACCCUUCAUGGGCCAUGUCAUGAGACCAUGCCUAAUCCCGAUCAAUUCCACCAUGUUACAAUUUUCCAUGGAUUUUAACGGUUGCAUCAGGCAUGCCACAGAGGUAAUUUCACACCCUGGUUGCAGGGCCUGCCCCUCCCACAUCAGGACGUCAUAUACGCAUGUCGCAAAGACAUCAUGUAGGAUUUUCCAUCCUACUUCUGGGCAUGAUUUAAUGUGUCGCCUUAUAGAUCAGCAAUUUCCAGCGGUGAAACCCUAGUGGUGCAAUAAAUGUCUCGAACAUUGCAAAGCGGGUCCGGAAAAUGCGGGGGCUUGGCAUGUGUCAUGCGAUUGCCUCCUUUGAGAGCACGAGAAUUUUCGAGGCCAUGAAGCAAUAGGACUAGCACUUUCUGCACAAACCGGACAUGUUCCCUCUCGGUACACACAAACUACCCCGUAGACAGUGCGGUUUACAAGCGGCCUCAGGGGAGGCUUAUUCGAAACGUGCCCAAACUUUUACCACACCCUAUAGGGGCCAUGUCAUGACACUGUGCCAGCUCUCGAGGAAUUCCGGCAUCAUACAAUUUUCCAAGGAUUUCAACGGUUGCAUCAGGAAUGACACCGAGGUUCUUCCGGUAACCCAGUGGUAGGGCACACCUCUCCCUCGUCUGUGCAACGCCUAGGCAUGCUACAAGGACAUCACAAAUGAUUUUACAUGCCUCUACCAGGCAUGAUUUCAUGUGCCCCCUUGCUGAUCUUAAAUUUCCGAUGACGAAACCCUACCAGUGCAAUAAAUGUCUCGAAUAUUGCACGUGGGCCUGGAAAAUGCGGGGGUGUGGCAUGUGUCAUGCGUUUGCCUCCUUUUAGGGCACGAUAAGUUUCGAGGCCAAUGGGGCAACAUGACCUGCACUUCCUACACAAACCUGCAAUAAAUUUCUGAAAAAUAGUAAUAGUUGAGUUAAUAAAACAACGCCGGCAUCCACCAUUAAAGAGAUGGCCUAUCACUUUGAAUCUUCUCUGCCCGAAACAGGUGAACAUUCAAAGUGAUUGUCAAUCUCCUUAACAAGAGUGUAAUGAAUACCGAAGCGUACUACAUCUAGACUGUCCCACUAUUUAAACAUGUUAUGUUGCAUGUCUCUAGGUGAGGUGGUACUAAAGUUUGAUGGGAGCCUUAGCUUUACCGAGAGCUGCUCUCGGCAACUGUUGCCUUACCGAAAGCUGCUCAUGGUGCAGGUACGGUUGGAUCAUAAAAUUAAUACACAUUCUUAAUUUUGAACACCGAAGUGUAAUUCAUCUGUCGGACUAUCGGACAUGCAAAGCGGUAGGCGAGGUGGAACCAAAUAGGCAACCGUUAGUUUUACGAGAGCUGCUCUCGGUAAAGAAGUCAAAACAUGGUUGUGCUGUUACCAGCCGCCGGAUGUGCCAUGUGGUAGAACGUUGUCGUGCGGCACUGCUUGGCUCUCGGCAAAUAGUGCCUUUGCCGAGGUCUACUCUCGGCAGUAUCAUGUGUUUACCGAGAUGCUCCUUUUGCCGAGAGUCAUGCUCGAAAUCUCUUAUUUUUCCGAGUGCCCGUGUUUUGGCUCUUGGUGAACAGCCUGACACCCGGUGUAUACAAAAUUUCCAGUAGUGUUACCAUUCAUAAAAAAUUUGGUGCCCACCCGCACAAAAAUGUACACGGGUAAAUGUCACCGACAUAUUGGGGUAGACCCACAGUGCUAGCCAGCACACCCAAUCUAUUUUGUGUUGUAUUUGUGGAGGUUCGGACUAAUUCUCUGAUUCUAAUGCAGAGCUUGUUGUAUGCUAUGAACUAACUUUCAUUGUUGUAUCAGCAAAUAGAGGAGAGGACGUCAGGGGAGGCAAUGAUAUAGCUGGUAACAGCAAAAAAAGUGAAAUAGUUGGUUCCGUGGGCAUGAGUUCAAUAAAACUGGAUAUUAAUUGCAUCCUGAUAAACUGGAACGAACUUGAUAGCAACACCUACACGAUGUAUGUUGCAGUUGGAUUUAUGUGCUUGUUUACAUGUGCUAGGCAAACCUUUUAUGUCACAGGAGGAAGAUCUCAUGUCUUUGGGGGAUGAGACUUGACAGAUACAACAUGAGAUUCCAAUUUCAGAAGAUGCAUUCUCUCCCGGCUUUCCACCUUUUGAAUUGAACUUUAGUUCAUUUCCCCGCCUCAAACUUCCGAUUUAGUGAGGCAACUAGUUGUGGGGCACUUGUGACUUGAUUGAGCUUGAGUUCCUUGUGGACUUUAGCAGUCCCACCUUCCCUGCGUUGAUCGUUCGUCGAGUACAAAUUUGUAUCUGCAAAUUUUUAGUUUGUAAGACUGUGUACAGAUGACUUAAUAGCUUACCUAGCAACCAAGAUCUCCCUAAGCAUAUCUUUCACUCUUAACAUGCCACUUUUCUAUUUAAGGGCAACAAAGAUUAAACUUCCCAUUCAUAAAAAAUUUGGUACCCGGGUGAAUGUCGCCGACAUGCGGGGGCGGGCAGACCUGCACUGCUGGGUAGUAGAAGAUCCCAUCUAAUUUGUGUUGUAUUUGAAGUGAUUCGGGCUAAUUCUCUGAUUCUAAUAAAUAUCAUUGUUGUUUGUUAUGAACUAAUUUGCAUUUUUGUAUCACAAAAUAGAGGAAACGACGUCAGGGGACUCAGUGAGAUAGCUGAUUCCCUGUGCAUGAGUUAAGAAGAACUAUAUAUUAACUGUUGACCUAAAUAACUAGAACGGCAACUUGUCGGCAACACCUACAGGAAGAUACAGCUGGAUUUUAUCUGUUUCCCGGAGGAUGAUAGUUGACAGAUAGUACACCUUUCUAACCCUGAUUCGUUUCCCACAUCCAGCUUUCGGUUUUGUUAGUCAACUAUUUUUUUAGGGAAACAACGGGACUCCGCUGUGUAUUUUUAUUAAUUUUCAAAUAAAAAGUACAAGGUUCCGAAAAAAAGAAAAACUAAAGGAAAAAGAGCUAUACAUGCAACCAAUUACAACAAACUCUCUGGGUCCUAGUUUUGCGGCACUGGUUAGUUCAAUCAGCUUUAGGUCCUUGUGGAGCUUAGCAGUCCAACUUUAGCUUUUCUGUCACCCAACCUCUCCAUUGAACACCUGGAGUAGUUCUUUCUAAUGUUCUGAUGUCUUCAAUUCUCACGUUAUGUACAUACACAUCUUCCUGUUCUUUUAUCAUGGCACACUCUCUAUUUUUGUGGUUGCCACCUAUCUUAUGGGCUCUUUUAUCAUGGUAUACUCUCUAUUUUUGUGGUUGCCACCUAUCUUAUGGGCUUAUAUAUGUGCUAAAUAUUGCUAGAAAAAAAUAUGUGCCCAAUAAGAGAAUCAGCAGUUAGAACCGAUGGAUGGAUGAACAAUACAAUUUUGUGAGUAUGGGAGUGGUAUAUAUAAAGGGCGAGAUGGGCAGAGAACAUUACUCACACAUGUGUGGAGGUUUGGUGGAGUCUCCAUUCCUUCUCCAUGUAAUGAGUGCUCAGGGCCUGAUGUACCCUACAGGUCUGGUCCUUUAUAUGCUGGUAACUUGGUACUAAAUAUUAGUACAAAACUAGGAAAAUGGCCCGUGCGUUGCAACGGGUUAAAAAUUCUGUCAAAAGCUACACCUUGCCAUGGUAUUGAUCAAAAUCAAUGGUACAAAAUAGGCCGGUAGUUGCAACGGUAAUAAAAGUUAAUGUGCAUUCGAACUCAGUGAGAGCUGUAUGUGCAUCAACACUUUGGUUCUAGGUUCGGCACAUGUCAUCACACUUAAUGUUAUUAGGCUGAGAGUAAUUCAAUAUGCUAGUGCGUGUUAAUCCCAAGUGUGUUACCAAUAUAUUAUUAUGCACAACCUAUAAUCCCAUUUUAAUCACAAUUCACACCACCAUGAUAUCUCUUAGACGCCAUUCAGAUAUAGGGAGGAAAAAAAGAAAAGCUUGUUUGCAAAUGUCUGAUCUAUCUUCCUGUAGCUGUUAAUCGAGUCAAUGCAGUUUUUUCCUUCACAUAGCGAUCCACCUCAUUCACCUGUCGUUCCUUAUUUAUCCCCACGCACCUUGUCACUACAGCCGGCUCGCCGAUAGGGACGAUCACUGUUGCAACCCCUUAACACAGCAGCCAACUCGCUGUCAGCCACCACCGCCGGUCACCGCUGCUGCAUCCCCCGUCGCUUCAGCCAGUUCAUCGUUGACCACCUUUGCUGCAAUAUCCCAUCACAGCAGUCGGCUCGUCUUGCCCGCCGCUGGCCUUGGGAAAUCCCCCGGCAUACCUUUUUAAGACACCAUUGCAGCAUCGCAGGCCCGCGGGGUGGUGCUCCUCGCAACACCGGCGUCGUCAGUGUUUCUGGAACUUCAGUCCAAGACUGGUAGUGCAGGACCUGAAUUAUUUUCCCACUUUUAUGUUAGGAGUCCUAGUAAAACGUGAUUGUUGUACUGUGUUUUUUAAGACCUUUAUGUAAUUUGUAUCACCACCGUCAUAAUCUAAUGCAGCUUCCGGGGCACUUCUCCUUUUGAAAAGAAAACUUGUGUGUCACAUGGUGUGUACGGGUGCUAUGGAGGAGAGAUAAGGUCGCGUGUGGAUGGGGAUCGAUGGAAACAAACGACUGGACCAGAAGAGGGAUGAGGGAGCGGUGCGUGGGACAUAGUAGUGGACGCGUGUGCCCACUGUUUACAGCAGGGUGGAUUGAUAGUAGUGGACACGUGUGCCCACUGUUCACAGCAGGCUGGAUUAGAUCAAAAUUUCCCCAUCUUUAGUGAAGCCUCCCUCUCCUCCCAGAUCCCACGGUGCCUGAAUCCACAAAGCAGGCAGGUCCCAGACGCCCUCUCCCGCAGCUCGGACCCCUCCCUUUUCCCAUCUCAGCUAAGCCCCUCCUCCUAGAUCCCACCGCAUCUGAGCCCCUCCUUUCAUCCUCGUCCAUGAAGCAGGCAGCUCCUACGCGCCAUCUCCCACAAGCUCGAACCCGAGUAGGUCGAGCCACCUCCUGACAGCGAUCUGCAGCAGGACCGUGCCAGUGAGCCAGCUCCUCCCCACGCUUCUUCUUCUUCCCGGUCUCCUCUCUCUCCUCACCCCUCUGUUCUCUCUUGAACAGCAAGCAGAAACUCCACCAUAACAAUGGCGUCGCCCCAUGUAUCUCAGAACUGCCGCCGUCACGCCAUCAUCAUUUGCCAGAAACUUCACCGACGCCCGUCGUCACGACCCUGCAUGCACGCGUCAAUAGGAGCAUCUCCCCGCACUGGCCUCGACCGCCUCUCGUCGUCUCUGCACUCUUUGCUGCUACAUCAGAGGGAUCCGGUGGUGGAGUGCAGGAGGAAGGUGGGGGACGUGGUGGAGUAGCUGGGACAGCGGUGGUCCUCUGGGCCGAUGGUGGGGUAGCUGGCGCGGCGCGCUGGUCCAAACCAUCUGAGAGGGAGCGCGGGGAUCGGUUCGUUGUCCGUCGCGAGCAGACCUGGUAUUCCGCUGGUUUGUACGUUGACCCGGUGCCUAGUGCUGCACUGCCACCGACACCACCCUGCUUCCUCCGGACAGAGGAGUGUCCGGACCAGGGGAGAUGGAGGCGCGGUGCACGCGGCUACCUGGGAUCUCCGGCCGUGGCGAGGAGAGAUGGAGGCGCCCUGGCAGGAUUAGCAGCGGCGUCUCCCUCUCCAGUGGGCGCCAGUGCACCAUAUCUUGCCUUCCUCCCGAACGAAGGACGACGGCGGCUGCGCGUUUGCCUUAGUUGGUGGAAGAGAGAGGAUAAGGGAGUGUGGGCGACGGGAGGAAGACGCCGGUUUUUCCUUACAUUGUGUGAUAUACUGCGGGUUGAUUUCUAGUAACCGCGAGGGCUAUUCUGCAAAAACGAAACGUUUCUCUGUAUGACUUGAACAUGGAGCGCGGGUUGAUUCUAGAAAACAGUAGGGUCUUUUUUGUAAAACUGGAUGACGGACGACCAGAAACCCAACUUUCUUUAUUAUUAUAUAUAUAGUAAGUACAAAUGUGCCCGUGCAUUGCCAUGGGUGACAAUGCAGUUGAACGAAUCAAACAAUGAUUAAGUUACAUGGAUAACUUCUUGAGGAUGGAAUGCAUGGAUAGUAUCAUUAAAUGACACUAAAACCUACAAAAUAUUAUUCAACCAUUGAUAAUGCAUAGAUAGUAUCAUGAGGUGACACUAAAACCUACAAAAAAAUUAUUCAACUAUUGAUACGGUAGGCGCAUCAAUCAGUCUUGUUUCAAUUUGGUUUGUUGAUCUCCAAGAGCAGAUUUUUAGUUUAGGGAUUGUUUGGAUCUCCUUCAACUCCAUGCUUCACCAACUACGCAGAAAGGAGGCCUCUCAUUCAAUUUGGUGAAGUCGAAAUCACAGAGCUUAAUAUAUUUUCGACGACAAUGCCAUCACCAAGUUGUGUAACACUUAGCUGCGAAACGAACCUGGUCGAAGUGCUAGCCAUGACGUCGCCAUUGUUCCCUUCUCACGAGCCCGCCAUGGCCGACCGCUAUCCCUCCAGCUCAUUCUAUUCAUCUGCUGCCCCGCCAUUGCCUUCCGUCGACUUCCUCCCUGCCGUCUUAGUCUUCCACACCAUUGGCCGCCUCCCCAACAUCGCCAUCUUCCCCGGUAUAGACAACCUCCCCAUCGUCGGCCUAUGCUAUGUUCAUGAUGAACCCCUCAACCAACAUAAGCUGGCCAUCACGUCCCAAAUGUUGUGGCCCUUCCACAGAGCGCGGCACUGAAGCGUCAACAUUUCUAGACAUUUCCGAAACACUGGCACCGCCAUCUUCCCUGGUAUAGACUACCUCCCCAUCAUUGGCGAAUGCUAUGUUCGUGACGAACCCCUCAACCAACAGAAGCUGGCCAUCACAACAUCCCAAACGGUGUGGAACUUCCACGAAAGCUGGAGCGCAACACUGAAGCUUCAACAUUUCUAGACAUUUUCGAAUAGGCUUACAUGUAUGCUUCUUGCCCUGGAGUUGCCACCCAGUGGAAUAUUUUAGCAAUGUUAACUUUAGCUAGAAAUAUAUAUCUCCCCUAGUAAUAGCUCAUCUAGAAAAAUGAUGGUUUUCACUUCUACACUCUGCAUGUAAUCUUUCAUCAAGCUCCCACACAUAGUUAUAAAAUCACUGCCAUUUGACAUUCAAUCGUCAAUUAUAAUAUUUCUCUAAUGAACCUUUCUAUUCUAUUUUUUUUGCUGGCUCUAGUAUAUCGUAAAUGCUAAAAUGAAGAAAUUUGAGGAUAUGUUAUAAAUUUCAGUGUUGCUACAUCUACAAUCCAUAUGAUAAAUAAUAGUUACCCAUAGCUCAUACAUGUACAAUAUCCAUGUUAGAAGGUUCAUCACUCUUUCCUGCUCCAUCCUUGCUACAGUUAAGAGAGAGAGAGUAUGCAUACAAUGUGUAAUCCUUGCAAUAUGAGAUGCAAAGUACAGACCCACAACGGUAUUUCAAAUAGGCACAAGAGAAAGAAUAUAUUGCAUUACUUCUAUAAUAAAUAUAGUAGUUUGAAUAAAUUGGUAUCCAGGUUUGUCACUUAAAGAAAUAUGCUUCCUGUAAUCUAGACACUUGAAGCGGGCAAGCAGCUAAAAUAAACUUAAUAUGAAGCUCUACAAUUCUCUCAUUGGUUCUAACAUACUGCAAUUCCCUCGUUGGUCCUGACAUACUGGAUCCUUUAUCAUGCAUCCUGGGUUAAGGUGGAUAUACUUUCUAAGAAAUUUAAAAAAUCUUCUUGCUUCAGUUGCUUGUUACCUGUCAUACAAUGUGUUAUCUCAACAAAUACUGGAGGACUAAUAGACACAGUCCGGGGCUAGUUGAAGUGGUUACUGCAAAAGGAAAAUCAUAAUAUUACAAAUUGCAAGCUGUCCAGAGAGAAAAAUAAGGUUAACUUGACGAUUUGACAGUUACAAUACUGGAGAUACUGGGAUUUACAAAGUCAACUGGUACUAAAUAAUAAAGCAGAAUCAAGUUGUACAUCCACUUCUUUCUGUUGUGAAAAAACUUAUGUGUCAUGCAAAACACUGAAAUAACUACAGAAUUUGCACAAAUAGAAAUAGCAAGCUUGCGACACAGUAAUCAGGUUAUCCCGGUGGUGCUCAGACAUGUAAUUAGAAAAUAUUUGACUGGUGCAGACUGAAGUAACCGUCUACUAAAGUCGACCAUAGCUCCAAGAUCAAAAUGUAAUAAUCAUAAUACAAGUUUCCUUCAAGGAAAAAUUGUAACAUAUUUGCUUGUACUCUGGUAACAGCUAUAAUCAUUCGUAAGAUAACCAACAUGUAUUUUGACAAGCUGAUGUAUAUUUUUUAUCCAUUUUUUUGCGACCUGAUCGCCCAUCGAUCUAGGCAGGCAGAGGCAUACAGGGACUUUGUGUCGCUGGCCUGAUAUAAUGUAAAUGUAGAGGUGACAACUAUUAGUUACCUAGGAAAGACAGUGUGUUCAUCAGAUCCUAGACUCCUCUUUUCCCAAAUUCUAUAGCUAAUUCAGGUUGGAAAAUUGAUAAAAACUUCUUCAGUCAUCAUAUGCAGGAGUCACUCAAUCUGACAUAGUUGAGCAUGAGUCAUUACGUGGGAAAAAAUAGGAUGGGUGAACGAAAUAAUUAUUUCUCCUCAAUCUGACAUAGCAGAGCAUGAGUAUACCCAAAUAGUUAUAUAAUUUGCAUGCUUUUCCAUACUACCUAGAUAAUUAGAUUUCCUUGAAGGCAGAAUCCGUAAGAAAGGAAUAUGUAGAAAUUAGAAAACCAACAUGAAAGCAAACUGACAUUGUUCUAACCUUACAAAAUCAGUUGCAUUAGUAAGAAAACCGAAACUUCUUACCCUGGUGCUUGCAGGUUUGAAUCACUCCAAGAGAUCAAUGGGAAAAUCAUGGUAGCUGCUUUGUUCUACUGAUUGUGCCGACAUAGGGACGGAUUGCAUCGCAAAUUUGACAGCCAAUAGUGAAGGGAGAACAUCUCUGACAAAAAACAAAUUCAUGAUGUGAUCUCUAUUCUCUGAUAGCCGGUGGAGAAAGGAGAUUGGAGAUAUAGGAAUACAAUGAGGGGAUGGGGGGUCCAAGGGGAAUUUAGGCCCAUCAGAUUUAGUUCUAAAUACAGGCAACUAGUUUAAUUUAUGUAUGUGCAACAGUUUCAAAGUCUGGCUAUGGGUCUAAAAGAAAGGAUUAUAAUCUCUAGGUAUGAUAUUGAGAAAUCUGGAAAGGUUGUAUAACUUUAAUGUCAAUUAUACUACAUAGGAUAAAUAGUUGAAGUCUAGGCACCAUACCUCUAUUUACGCUAAAAGGAAGAAAGAUUAGAAACACCCUGCAAAUAAUCAGAGACUUAGUCUGUAUUCGCUAGAAACAGUAGAAAAUAUGCAAAUCCUAUAUCCAUACAGAAUAUCGACUUAUUUUGUUGGCUAACGCGGGGUAUGUAUCAUAGAAAAACAUCUGAAAGCCUCUUGCAAGCUCCAAACCAAAUUGGCCAGCUGUAUCGUUUUCUUUGAAGGUCAGGUGUUUCAUUGUGUUCAUGUAGCAACUCUGGAAUACAUGGUGUCACUCUAGGAUGCAUAGUAAGGCUACAGUAGUUAGCAAAAGAAAAUAUGAUAUCUCUACAACCCUAGCGUCACCGAACCUUAAGUGUGUAGAACCAACGGGUUCAGGAGACACGUAGACAUGACUGAGACGACUCUCCGGUCAAUAACCAACAAUGGGAUCUGGAUACCCAUGUUGGCUCCCACAUGCUCCUUGAUGAUCUCAUCGGAUGAACCACGAUGUCGAGGAUUCAAGCAACCUCGUAUACAAUUCCCUUUGUCAAUCGGUACGUUACUUGUCCGAGAUUCGAUCGUCGGUAUCCCAAAACCUCGUUCAAUCUCGUUACCGGCAAGUGACUUUACUCGUACCGUAAUGCAUGAUCCCGUGACCAAACACUUGGUCACUUUGAGCUCAUUAUGAUGAUGCAUUACCGAGUGGGCCCAGAGAUACAUCUCCGUCAUACGGAGUGACAAAUCCCAGUCUCGAUUCGUGUCAACCCAACAGACACUUUCGGAGAUACCCGUAGUAUACCUUUAUAGUCACUCAGUUACGUUGCGACGUUUGGUACACACAAAGCACUCCUACGGUAUCCGGGAGUUACACGAUCUCAUGGUCUAAGGAAAAGAUACUUGACAUUGGAAAAGCUCUAGCAAACGAACUACACGAUCUUGUGCUAUGCUUAGGAUUGGGUCUUGUCCAUCACAUCAUUCUCCUAGUGAUGUGAUCCCGUUAUCAACGACAUCCAAUGUCCAUAUUCAGGAAACCAUGACUAUCAGUUGAUCAACGAGCUAGUCAACUAGAGGCUCACUAGGGACAUGUUGUGGUCUAUGUAUUCACACGUGUAUUACAAUUUCCGGAUAACACAAUUAUAGCAUGAAUAAUAGACAAUUAUCAUGAACAAGGAAAUAUAAUAAUAAUCUUUUAUUGUUGCCUCUAGGGCAUAUUUCCAACAAUUUCCACUUAAAUGCAUUGUUCAAUCCAUUUUGAGGACUUUGUGAUGCUGUCAAUUUCUCUAUGAACUUAAGUGCAGAACUAGUGAUCUUGAUUAUACUUCUUCUAUUUAUCUGGUAAUGUUAUGCUUGCUGCAGCCUUUGAGAUAUUGAUUUGUUCAUUUUGUAGGUUCACACGAAGAGACGCAGCAGGAUGCUGCAUGACAAGAUGAGUGACCUUGUUUUCAUCAAGUUCAACUCCAAACUGAAGGACAAGAAACUAAACAAACGCAAGGACCCCAUUGAGAAGCAGGUGGUAGAUGUUUUAGAAGAUGAUGAGGAUGAAUGGAUCACUGGUGUAGUGCCAAAUGGUGAUGAAGAACAAGGUGAAGAUCAAGAUCAAGAUAUUCCAUAUGCAAGCUCGCAUGUUGGACCAGGAACAUCUGCUAUUAAUCUACUGAAAAGGAAGAGGGAUGUCUAUGGUAAGAAGAAGAAGAUGAUGAUCCCUGUUACUCCUCAAGAAGAUCUUCUCUCUGCUUCCUCUGCUUCAGAAAGUGAUGACGACGAGGACACCGACAUGAGUUCUGGUUCUGACAUAUGAGCUUGUCGGUUUCUCUAUGAACUUCAUUUUGGCGCUUAUUAUUCUGUCCUUUCAUGUGUGCUUUCGACAAAUGAAUUCUGAAGAUUUUGUGAUCCAUGUAAUGGACUAUGGACAUGUUGUUAUUGUUACUGAAGCUAAGUGCCGAACUGCUGAUGUUAUGCUUGAUGCGGUCUUGAAUUUAUGUUUCUAUUUAUCUGUUGAACUGCUGCAGAUCUCUUCUGUACUUGUUAUGUUCGAAUUUAUAUUGAGAAUCCUCUGUUUUCUACUGAAAAUAUGCUGUUUUCUGAGAAAAAUAUGCACAUGUAUUAGUACAGAUGUGUGAUAUACAUGCACAAGACUGUAGCCGCGAAAUGGCUUAGCAGCCGCUAUGGCCGGCGAUAGCGGCUGUAGCGUUGGCACAGAGCCAGCCGCUAAAUGCCUUAGCCCGCGAUCUGAAACUUUGGUUGGGGUUGGCGUCCCACUGAACUAAAACUUUCAAAAUUUUGAUUCAAAACUACCAAUUUUUUCAUAAUUCGUCCCUAAAAAAUACCAAAAAUGAUUGAUGGCCGUUUAGACGAGUUAGCGUUUUUGACAGGCGGGACCCACCUGUCAGUGCCGUCGUGGCAGGAAAAUCAUUGUUGUUUAUUUUGAUCAUUAUGACAUGUCGACCCCACAUGUCAACAUCAUCUCUUUUCUUCCUCCUCCCUCACAUGCAUUUCAACAAGCACCUCAUGUGCACAAAGAUGAAUCACGAUCCUGAUGCUACUCCCUUGCCGCACCUUCACAAGCUCAUGGUGGCCGUGGCUAGGAACAUGAGGUGCUUCAUCAGCUACACCUUCAGUUGGGUAGCAAUACAGUACCACCGCACCUUCUCAUGCACAUGGAGACCAGUGGGCAGCAGUAGCUAAUCCAGUGCUCCCAGUUUGAGGCGCGGGCUGGCGCAGUCCGGCAUGAAGGCGGUGAUGAACACAGCGGCUGGGACCUUGGCACGGAACUCCUCGGCUGCGAGCGUGAUGCUCAUCCCGUCGAAGCUAUCGCCUACCAGCACCACCAUCUCGCCGUCCGGGAGGUUGCGGAGCGCGUCCAGCAGUGGGCGGGUGUAGACCUCGAAGGUGAGGUCUUACACGUCCACGCGUUAGACCAGUGUCGUGUGACGUGGAGCAGGGUGGCUACCUUGUACCAGCACCACCUGCCGUGGCCCAUGCCGUGCACUAGGAUGAAGCACUUUGACAUCGGCACGGCAGCUGCUAGCACACAGGAGGAUGACAUGUGUGGUAUAUAUCCCCGAGAACUAGACAGUACGCCUACACAAGGCACAUAUAUAGCUGCUUCGUUUCUUGGAUGCUUGAUGUUACGCCUAGGCUCGUCGUCAAGAGCCACCGGCGACUGCUACUCCGUCCACUGCUCAAUGCGGUCGGUGCGGAACUGUGGUCUUAUGCACAUAACGUGCUUGUUGAAAUGCCAAGAGUGAGAGGAUGAGGAGGAAAAAAGGUUGAUGAUGAGGUGUGGGUGCCACUUGUAAUAACGGUCAACAUAAUGGUCAAAAUGAACGGCAUUGACUCUCCUGCCACAUCAGCCCUAACGGGUGUGUCCCGCCUGUCAUAAACGUGUUUAAAUUUAAAAUGGUCAUCAAUCAUUUUCGGUAGUUUUUGGGGACAUAUUACGAAAAAAUUGAUAGUUUUCGGCCAAAAUUUUGAAAGUUGUAGUUCAGUGGGAUGCCAAAAUUUUCGGCCAAAUUAAUAGGCCGCAGUCUUUGGAGGAUGGGAGUUUAUAGGCCCCACAGGAUAAGAAUGUCGAAGUCCUUUAUGGAGAAUUUACUUUUCAAUUUCAGGAUCAUUUAGCUCAAAAAACUCAGUAAGUGCAUGAAAAAUACCAAAUGAAGUCAGAAAGGGUUGAAAACGGAGGAUGUGGCUCUGAAUGGUGCAUUUCGAACACACAAAAAGUCUGGAGUUCAAAUAAGUUCAAAAAACAAAAUCUCUUUGUAACAGAUGAGUUUUCGUCCGAAACUGUGAUACUUCAAAAGAGAUUGUCCAUUUUGUACACGAAGUGCUUCCAGUUUAUGCGUAAUCCUCUCAAAUUUUUAGCACAUGUUAUGUGGGUGAAAUCAUGAUACCAUACCAACUUUCAACCUGCUCAGACUUCAUUUGCAGUGAUUUUCAAUUUCAACGUCAUUUAGCUCAAAGAAUAAACUAAUAGCAAAAAGAAUGAACUAGAAAACUUUUAUAAAACUCUAAUAGCAAAAAAGAAUGAACUAAAAAGAAUUAACUAAAAUAUUAUUUUGUUCAAAACAUAACAACAAAAAGAAUUUACAUAAAGUAUUUUUUGUUAGAAACAUUAUUAGCAAACUAAAAUAACAAAGUUUGUUUUGAUUAGAACACCUAUUUAAAAUAACCUAAAAAUUACCAUAUUGAACAUAAUGAUAAAAAACACUAAUAUUGAAUAGAAGGAAAAAGAAUCACUCAAAAAUUUAUUUUUAAAGUAAAGUUAUUCACAAACUAGUGAUUCAUAAAAAUUUCAAAUUUAAACUAUCAAAUUUGAAAACUAAUGGCACUAACACAAAGUUUAUUAUUUUUGUGACCUAAAGCAAAAGGAAUCACUCAAAAACUCUAUGUAUUUAUAUGUAAGUAGAAAAAAAUAAAAUAAAUAAACCAAAAACCAAACAAAAAUACUGGAAAAAAUGUGCCGCCUAUCUUAUGGGCUCUUUUAUCAUGGUAUACUCUCUAUUUUUGUGGUUGCCACCUACCUUAUGGGCUUAUAUAUGUGCCCAAUAUUCCCGAAAAAAAUAUAUGUGCCUUAUACACUACUAGGAAAAGGCCUGCUAGUGGCGCACCAGUUUUGCCUAAUAAUGGCAUACUACUGGUGCACCACUAGCACCAUGCCAUUAGAGUUAAAUACUAAUGGCGCGCCAUUAGUAUCUGCUAUACUAAUGGCGCACCAUGCAGUACGCCAUUAGUAUAGCCCACCGUGCGCCAUUAGUAUGCCUCCCAGGGGGCCAUAUGUACCCAUGUGAUUUGGUAUACUAAUGGAGCACUAGGGUGUGGUGCGCCAUUAGUGUCCUUUCUGCAGUGCGCCAUUAGUGUGUUGAGUGGUGCGCCAUUAGUAUGAAUAUUAGGGAUUUUUUUUCUUUUCUGAUAUUUGCACAGGUUACAAAACAUGUUAUUGCACAUAAUAUAGAGAGCACAACAACAGCAGAUUUAUCGAAUACAAUAGAAGAUUAGUCUCCGAAUACAAUUCAUCAUAUUAGUCUCCGAAUUUCAAAUACUGAACAAAGUUAUAACAUUACAUGUCUCGAAACCGCGAGUAGCGAGUUUGUCUUCACAUUACAAGUCGAUAUCGAUCAUCUAAACUACCAUCACAUAGAAGAGAGCUGCGGUCAUCACGAUGAGCAUAAUCGCGAUGAAACUGGUCUUCAUCCGGUUCCUCCAGCGCUCCCUCCUGUCUCCCGCUAGAUACCGCGCGUAUCUAACUUCGGCCUCCGCCCUAGUGGUGUACCCUAUGUAACUGUUACCGCUGAAACGGUGAACCUGUCUCGGACACUCCUCCCAGUCGUUGUAGACUCCGGGAACCUUACCCUUGUACAUGACAUACGACGACAUCUCUAUGCACUAGCCAAACAAAACGUUAGUAGCAAUUCGCAGAGAUAUACAAGUUCAUUAAAGUUUAAUAUUACAACUAUAACAGCACGAUUCAUCGUCCUACUAAUAAAUAGCAUCAAUUACAUAUAAGUUGAACGACUAUCCAAACCAAAGAGACAUACAAGUUCAUUAAAGUUUAAUAUUACAACAUGAGCCAAUCGACAUUUCAGAUAGCAUCACUACUUUCGACUCGACUCAGGGGACCGGAGCGUGGAUGAAGCCGCCGUCUUUCGUGAUGGUCAUGAAAUUGCGGGCGUUGUCAGCCUGCAUUUGUAGCGUUGUUUCAAUCUCACUGUUGGACGGUUGAGAUCUGAGGUAGAACUGCCCCGAGGUAUGAAGGACAUAUUGAUGGAUGAUUUCCGCAAACUCCGAAUGGAUGCGAAAGAAUUCUUGUCUGAUGUCCGCGUCCUGGAUUGCCGACAAGAUAGUGGCCCAAUCUUUGAGAUUAUCUGGUAGCAGAAGGUGAUUAUAGUCCCGUACGAUCGCCCGCAUGUGAUGGAGGGCAUAGUAGGCAUCCUUCUGACCGCCAGGCGGCUACUUAACGCAGGGGAACGUCUUAUUGUGGAUGAACACGUGCUUGCCGUACCUAUGAACUAGCCUCUUGAAGGUGCCUCCAGAUCUGGCGUAGCCGGGGAGAGCAUCAUCAAGAACUUUCUUCAUAUUUGAGUAGUCUAUCUUCGACUCACGGUCCGGGUCAAAAUACGUGGCCAAGGAGUAUUUUGGGCUUAAGACGAUGAGUGUGCAAUGUGUGUCACUGCACAAAACACGGAAUGUUAGAAAAAAAUGAUCGAAAUCUAAGAAAUCAUAUGUUACGGGGCGGUGAGGGGAUGACUUACUCGGGAAAGUAAGGCACGAGGAAGUUAUCCUUAUCUGGGUUUGCCAGAAUGACGCCUUCGAGGUGUGAACUCGCGACUUGCCGGUCCCCAGCGAUGCCCAAGAUCUUGGCACACAUGUAGAAGGGGUCGACUAUCACGAUGUUCGGGGUCUUGUCUCGAAUGAUCCGCAUCUCCAUACUCAGCGAAAACAGCCGAACGAAGGUGUAGUGCAGCGGAUGAAGGUUAGACAUAGCAAAGAUGUCAUCAAACCGCAGGACGAUCGUACCCCUGAUGGCACCAUCCACAAAUUCCUUGCCCUCUGGAACCUUGGCCACGAAAACCGGGUAUGCCACAUCAUUCUGGGAGAGACGCCGCUUCUCCAAAGAAAGAAAACUGUGAUGCAGACUCUGCAUAGCACCGGUUGCAGCAUUGAGCAUAUUUGUCGGUAGCAUCGCCCUACCCGCCACAUGCACCCUCCUCGAGAUAUCCUUAGGUGAAGGUGGCCCGUCCUCAGCACGGAUCAUACUCGGUGUCGCCUGGCUCGCACCGGCGCCCUUGUUAGUAUUUCAUUUCCAUCCCUUCUUCUUGAUCUGCUGUAAUGGGAUCGAGUUCUGCUCACAGACCGCCUUGUUGAGCGUGUUGGGGCUGAUAAUAUUUCGCACCUCGGCUAUCUGAGGCUCGGUGAAGGCAGCAGCUGGAGGCGUCUCCUGAGAACUGAACGCCAGACAACGCCUGUUGCAAUUAGGUUUCUUCGUGGUACCAGCUAGAUCGCGGUCGUCUUUUUCAGGUUGGGUUCUUGAGAAGGAGGCCCGCAUAAUUCAUCACCGUACCCAUGUUCGGCAAAGUACUUAUCGACGUUGGUAAAUGUACCAUCGUCAUUGUCGUCGUCGUCUGGAUCCUGUGCCAUAUGCAUGUCUGGAUCCUGUGCCAUAGGGAUGUCCGGCAUGUCCGGUAGCGUUGCGGCGUUCUUGCCAUGGCUUGGCGCCGGCACGACUGGCAGUCUUGUCUGUGGUGUGUUGUCCCCCGCCCCCAAAUGAAUCUGGCUCUUCGGCCAAAGCAGGGGCCAGCUUACGCAGGCGCUGAGGGUCAUCUCAUCAUCUUCGUCGGCCCCAGCGGGUUGAAUCGGAGGUAACAACUCGUCGCAGCCUGGCGCACCCGAACCAGUUCAACCCUAUACACUAUGGGUGGCAUCAGAUUACCGUGGAACACGGGGUUGGCCGGUUGAACGAUUCUGCCCUUGGCGACUUCGAUCAACUCGCCGCCCACGAAGUGCAGGAGAGUGCAUGGAACAUCGGCGACGCCCUGCGAAAACAUGUAGGGCGUCAGGGAUGCCCAGUCAAAGGCAAGGAGAUGAAGUCAUCAGCCGAGCGGCUUAGUUACCGUGAUGCCGUCGAGCUCGGCUAAUGUCGAGGCACCGCCAACAGCGGGCGUGCAACUGACGGAGGGGCCACUUGCUGGCGAGGUGUCGGCCGGCGUACACCCGCCGGGUGCAUUAAGCUCCAAUGCCCGUGCCGGCGCCGGAGACACGAAUACCGCCUCCGGCGGAGACACCAAUGGCGGCGCAUGCGUGUUGUGCGAGUUGCUGGCCGUGAAGAUGGGAAUCGGGGGUUGCCCCUGUUGGCCGCCCGCAAUCCACUCCGUCAGCCCCUGAAUCAAGGUAGGCACCAUGGCGGUGAGCGUUGUUCCGAGUUGUUAUUGCAAUUGCUCUUGGAUAAUCUCCGGAAUCCGCGCCACUUGUGCCUUGAGUUCUUGAACCUCCUGCAACUGGCUUUCCGAGAUGGUCUUUCUCUCCUUUCGCCCACCAGCGGUAUAGUAUGAUGACCAUUUUAUGGACAAGCCUUUUCCGGCCACACGACCAGCUGACGACGGCUUACUGAGCUUAUCCUUGUUUUUCAUUACAUUCAACGCCCUAUUUAGAGUGUUGUCCCAAGCAGGGGAGCUCUGAGACGACCCCGCGCUACUGCUUUCAGUCUCCUGCAGAAGGAAUGUGAACCAUUUAGAAAUUUGGCUUCAUUAAUUACAAUGCAUCCAUAUGGAGCUAAUUACGCGGGGGUGUAUUCCUUACCAGAACAACCUCAAGCGCCUUGGUCUUCGGAUCCGUGGUAAGCUCCUUUGUUACCGGGUCCUUCUUGUACCGGGCCCUGACAAAGUUCCUGGUCUGCUUGUCAUGGUAUUUCUCAAAGCAGGGCGGUAGUCCUUGCUCGGCACGCUCCGCGUCCUCCUUGUCCCAUAUAGGCUCCACCACUCUGUAACCGCCGGGACCGAGUUGGUGGACCCCUAAGUUCAACUCCCGCAUUUCUUUCCCCCGUUGACUAGAUUCCACGGUUGCGCUGCUCUCACACUUGAUCUUGAACUCCUUGUAGUCAUCUUCGCUGAUCGGAGGAUAUUUCUCCUGGAUCUUCUCAUAACUAUCACCUUUUUCAAUCAUUCUCUUCACCGAGCUUCUCCAAGUAGACAGGGACGUGCUCAUCUUCGUGUUUGCAAAGUCAGCGGGGAACUUGUAUCGUUCGUGCAGCUUCGUGAAGAGGAGGCUGCGCAAAUUCCCUCGGUCCUUAUGCCUUAGGUUCUCGGUGUUGAUCGAGACGGUGCUCCAGAGUAUGCACCCGAGCUGAACCGAGUACCCCUUGACUAAUUCUUUGGGCGCCGUUGGAUGCCCGUCGGAGUUCACUUCAGUAAAUUCCUCCUUGACGGUGCCGAGUACAUUCGGGCGCCGAUCCUUAUGUUGCCUCUUCAGUUAGCUUCCAUCUGUGCGUGCGCCGCCAUCAUCAAUGGUGACAUCCUCGGCGGCACCAUCAGUGGUGUCAUCCCCGACGCCACUAGGGGUUGUGUAGUCAGGAUCGGUGUCUUCCGCGACGUCCUCAUAGCGGUGAGGUUCUUCCUCCAUCUCCUGGGAUAGCUCCCAGAAUUGCUUGCCGCCCAAACCGCCGGCCUCAUCGUUGUUGGCCAUGUUUCGCUCUAAAUAGAAAAAAAGUUUGGUCAAAAAGUUGGUUAUUGUCAAGGAACAAGAUCAUGGAAUCAUCAAUUAGGGUUUGUCGACACUGAGGCAUCCUAAAAGCUAAGCCUUUAUCAUUUAGGGUUUGUCGACUCCGAGGCACCCUAAAAGCCUAAGCUUUCAUCAUUUAGGUUCUUAUCGACACCGAGGCACCCUAAAAGCCAAGGUUUUAUCAUUUAGGGUUUGUCGACGCUUGGGCCUAAUCACUUGGCUCUAUUGCCACCUAUGGUUUAAUGCAGCAAGAAUGGCGGGGCAGUUGAUCCUACUUAAUUAAGUACUAAGAUACCCCGGCUCAUGCAUUAGUCGCAAGUACCCCAUAUGUCCUAUUUUUAGCAAAGUCAUGCUAAAAUUCAUGGAAAAUUUCAGCAUGACCUUUGCUGAAAAUAGGACAUAUGGAGUACCCGAAUUUGCUGGAACGUAAGUUAAUCGACAUUCCGCCAAACUCAAGGGCCUCUCGGGGCACCUGCAAAAUCAUUAUCCCCGCGUAAUCAAGUCACCAAUGGGUCAGUUCAGAAGAUCACAAGUAGCAUCAUCAGAAGUACACAUCAUCUAUAGCUUUAUAUUAACAAAGCAUCAGCACAUAUACAAAAGACCACUUAUACCAACAGUAUGGUUUAUAUCAGAUUUAGAGUUAGAAACAGGAAAAACUGGUGCUUCAAAGCCAACUGGACACAAUUUACAUCUAUCAGUACAAGAUGAACUGACUAAUUUCAAGUGUUCACAGGUGAACUUGUACCAUGGAUGAGCCUAGUGCUUCAUUAGUCAACUGAACAGAGAUAACAGGGCAUAACACCAUACAUAAAGUGAUGAGCAUACAUACUACUGUCCAAGCAAUAUUGCCACUGAUAUAAACAUUUUAUUGUUCAAGACUUCAACUGAAAGUAGCUAACAAGGUAACAGAUGCAAGACUGCCACUGAUAUAAACAUUUUAUUGUUCAAAAAUUCACUCAACUUAACAUGACAACCCACAAAAAUUGUUUUGAUUCCAAUAGCUGCUGUAAAAUACAUCCAGCAAAGGUGCUCUAAAAUCAGAAAUACUACCCCCCAAAUCUUUAGCUCAAUUCUGAAAAGACAUGGUCUUCUAGUUACAAUACUACCCCCCAACAGUUAAGAUCCCAGGUGAGUAACACACUUUGGUCUUCUAGUUACAAAACAAAACUGACAUAAUUCUAGAUGCCACUUUGGUCUUCUAGCUAAACAAGUGAAGUUUCACCCAUAUAAGAACAAGUGAAUUCUAGUCACAUUGACACUCAUGGUUUUCUACAAACACCAAGUACUAGGGUACACAAAAGUUCUGAAAUUUGUGUGCCUAACUGAAUUUUCAGUAACCGAAUAAACUGAAUUUUCAAAACUACAAGAAGCCAUUUAAAAAAAACCUCUCAUCUCAUAUGAGGAGUGUUAAUCCUAAGACUAAUAGUUUGUUGUGCAGUACAGCUACAGUGAUGCCCUGUCCAUUUGUCCCUCCCCAACUAGAUACUAGAGUAGCACUGUUCAUGCCCUGUCCAUUUCUAUAACCAGUAAGAACAAGGGGAUGAUUUUAGCAAGUUAAGUGCAACUCUAGCACCCUGUGCAUGAAAUGUAUUAUGUAUCAAACCAUCAAUUAACUGCUGAAAAACAAAAACCUUCAGGACAGAGUGAAAACAGUUACCGAACUCAAUUACUAAAGAUAUGUAAAAUAUAUGACACAAAAAAUAAAGAAAUCAUGUUGAUGAAUAAAUUUAUAGAGUAUAUAACCACAAUUAUAAAACCCAUCAAAAUAGUAUUGUGUCAAGUUCAGUUUGAAAAUUCAGUUACCGCUUGAGUGAUUUGACACCAAAAGUUACUCCCAAAAAUUACAAUGACUGUAUAUUGACUGCAUAUAUUCACUGUAUAGGACUGAAUUCAGUCAAGAAAACCUGUCAAUUUCUAUUCACUGCAUAUAUUCACUGUACAGGCUAUCAAGUUCUAUUUCAGCUCAAGUUCCAUUGCUUUUGUUUUGAAACUGCUUGGUAAAUUAACUAGGAGUACAUGAGUAUACAGGAUCAAGCUAACCGAAAAUCCUUGAUAUUCCCCUUUCGUAACUUGCAGUGAUUAUUUUGUUUCUGUUCUCUUAAGAUGUACUAGAUGGAUGACCCUAUGAUGAUUUCUUGUGCUGUUUCUUUGUGCAUACUUCAGUUUGUUAUCGUCAGACGGCAAGAGAAGUUGAAGAUGCCGGGCAGAUAAUGUUCUAAACUGGAAGUCAAAAAAUACUACAUGGAGGCGAUAAUGCUUUAAUAUGAACUGGUGGCUAUGAUCCACGCCAGGGGCAAAGGGGCCAACAUGGAUUAGUGGCCAUCCGGAGGAGGCAAAAAUUAAGGCCUAAUGAUGCAGCGCAACCGAUUUGGCAACAUGCUAAUCAUGCGGAGCACAUAAUCGUUAGGUCUUAAUGCCCUUUCAGGAAAGAGUGUGACAAAUUUGGUGAUGGGUGAUAACAUGAGCCUCAGCAACCGUCCAGCAAUAUAAACCAGGUCAAAUAAAUUAAGCAGAGGAGUUUUUGUUACAGAACUGACGAAAGGAUCAAGUAGAAAAUAGUAGGCGUGACAACAAUAACAAUAGGAUUCAUUACUGUGUAGAUUACUUAAUGACGCAGCACCACAACAGGGUGACAGUGUUGGCCUUGGCUUGGCCCUACACACAACAUUAAACCAAGAAGGCAAGAUCACUUUUCUUUUUAAUCCUGUUCAUGGUAUAUUCAAUUUAUUAUACAUAUGGAUUGAACAUACAACCCAUUAACAGUCGCCCAAGGGUCGAGCGAGGAGCUAUGCCACGUGGGCGUUAGGGACGGGCGAGGGAGAAAAACAGAUAGCUGAAAAGAAAAGAAUAUCGGCCAGAUAACACCUCCCCUGUUUUCUCUUCCCCACGAAGCAACCUCUGCUCCUCCUCGUUUCUCUCCUCCGCCUCUUCCUCCAGGGGCAGUUGCAGAGGGACCUGUCAAGGCGGCAAGCAGGAUGGGUGGCCAGCUGAUUCUUUGCCGGACCUCCCAGCUAGGGUUGCCGCCGCCGCCACCCUCACCCGCGCUCGCGUUCUCUUCAAAUCCGGCUGCGAGCUCCACCCCCUCAAGCGGUCCAGCCUUCGGAGGACAGGGGUGCGGGGCAGUGGUGGACGGGCCUGUGAAGGAGCUGCAAGAGGCGCUGGAUGCGGACAUCCAGGCCGCAUCAUGAAGGAGCGGGAGAUGCAGAGCCACAUCAGGACCGCGAGCGCGAGGUCGCCGGGUUAGUCCUUGUCAAUUUGGAAUCUACAGGACUUUCCACGAGUUCUGCUAUUAAGGUUAGCCCUCCUCAAUUUGGAAUUCUGAAUUUAGACUCCUAGACUUUGAUUUGUUCUUUAAGUUUCUGAUGAUCUUGCGAUUCAAUACACGAAAACAAGGAUUCACAGAAGCAAAAAGCCUGAUUGGAGUAGAGGAAUUAGUUUUUGCAAUAAGCGUGAUUGGAGUAGAGGAUUUUUGUGUGUGCAAGGCAAGGCAAGCCAAUAGGCAGAGCUCCCAUCUAGCCAGGGGAAGGAGACGCACGCAUCAUCACAGUUGGGGACGGGGUGUAUCAACAAACGCAUGAUCAACUCGCACCUAGCUGAAAGCACACAAAGGUAGCACGUCACACCAGCCCGUACACAAGGAGCAGGGCUUGCUGUAGUCUUGACCAAGACAUGUACGCGGAGAUCAGCAAUGUUGAUAGCUAUUGUUGUCUCGGCAGCUCCCUCUUAAUUGGGUGGUAGCCUUUGAUUAUCAGUCUAUGACAAAAGUUCGCGGCAAGCUACUGAAGAAAUCAAUCGACCUGCCUCUGUUGGCUAGCUUUGGCUAGAUUUACAUGUGUUCUUGCUCAUGGAGAAAUUGAUCUAGGGCUAUAAAACAAACAUAUGUACUGUGGAAGUACAUGAAGAAACACUUGCGAUUGGAACAAGGAAGGUGCUGGCCACAAGGUUGAUGAACGAGAAUACAGAGAUUUCUUGACAGGUCGAAUUCAUCUUGAUUUCCUAAAGUGAACCAGAAUAGUGCAUCUUUUGGCAGUGCUUUAGAA
rnacentral:lncRNA from 1 species